CUGCAUGAAGUUGGAAUUGCUAGUAAUCGCGGAUCAGCAUGCCGCGGUGAAUACGUUCCCGGGGAUUGUACACACCGCCCGUCACACCAUGAGAGUCGGGAACACCCAAAGUCCGUAGUCUAACCGCAAGGAGGACGCGGCCUAAGGUGGGUUCGAUAAUUGGGGUGAAGUCGUAACAAGGUAAC
rnacentral:rRNA from 1 species